GUACACACCGCCCGUCACACCAUGGGAGUGGGCUGYACCAGAAGCUGGSUAGUCUAACCUUCGGGAGGGCGGUCGCCACGGUGUGGUUCAUGACUGGGGUGAAGUCGUAACAAGGUAGCCGUAGGUGAACCUGCAGAAGGAUCA
rnacentral:rRNA from 1 species